rnacentral:rRNA from 1 species
CCUACGGGGGGCAGCAGUGAGGAAUAUUGGUCAAUGGACGAGAGUCUGAACCAGCCAAGUAGCGUGAAGGAUGACUGCCCUAUGGGUUGUAAACUUCUUUUAUAUGGGAAUAAAACGUUCCACGUGUGGGAUUUUGUAUGUACCAUAUGAAUAAGGAUCGGCUAACUCCGUGCCAGCAGCCGCGGUAAUACGGAGGAUCCGAGCGUUAUCCGGAUUUAUUGGGUUUAAAGGGAGCGUAGGUGGAUUGUUAAGUCAGUUGUGAAAGUUUGCGGCUCAACCGUAGAAUUGCAGUUGAAACUGGCAGUCUUGAGUACAGUAGAGGUAGGCGGAAUUCGUGGUGUAGCGGUGAAAUGCUUAGAUAUCACGAAGAACUCCGAUUGCGAAGGCAGUUCACUGGACUGCAACUGACACUGAGGCUCGAAAGUGUGGGUAUCAAACAGGAUUAGAUACCCGUGUAGUC